rnacentral:tRNA from 1 species
GCGGGCGUGGCUUAGUGGUAUAGCGUCUCCUUGCCAAGGAGAAGGUCACGGGUUCGAAUCCCGUCGCCCGCUC